UUUAACACAAACGCACGACGGCGCCAGGCAGAGAAAGGGGAAGAAGAGAUUGACGCUAGCCUAUGCGACGCCGCCUCCCUCUGACCUGUCACCGGUGUAGACCCAAGCCGUAGCCACCACCGGCGAUAGCCAAGCCUUAGUCACCACCGGCGAUAGCCCAAGCCUUAGUCACCGCCGGCGAAAGCCAAUGAGCCGUGUCUCUUCUUCCCUCGCACAACCAUUGACCCGCCUCCCUCCUCCCAUCUCAGGAGUUGAAUGAACCUGUGCUUUCAUUCCGUAAGUCUUCUGUCUUCAGCUGAAAGUUUUCGAAGGCCUCAAACACUGCUUCCACCUAAUGUUCACCGACUCCGGUAGGAGGCUUAGGAUCAUGAAGGGCUCAGAGGCAAUUGGGCUAGCUCCAAGGACCAUGGAGAAGUGUAAGAACCGUAACUAAAGUGGAAGUAUCAACAAAGACCAAAGGGAGGUGUUUCCUGGGUAUCAAAAGCUUUGAAGGAUUUUGAAGUUUGGUAUUCUAUUUUAGAAACCUAUGUGUUUUUUAUAUGUAUUAGCUUUUGUGUAGUUAAGAGACUGGAAAAUUUUCAUGUAAGGUAGAAGAUUUUUAACUAGAG